AACGACCAUAACCUUUCCAGGCCUUGACAUGGAAACAAAUACCCUAGAGAUAGGGGUAUAAUUAUGGAUCACACAGGUGGUGCAUGGUUGUUGUCAGCUCGUGUCGUGAGAUUUUGGUUUAAGUCCCGCAACGAGCGCACCCCUUGUCUCAUGUUCCCAGCAUCAAGUUGGGCACUCAUGGGAGACUGCCGGUGACAACCCGGAGGAAGGUGGGGAUGACGUCAAAUCAUCAUGCCCCUUAUGGCCUGGGCUACACACGUGCUACAAUGGCGUCCACAAAGAGCAGCGACACAGUGAUGUGAAGCGAAUCUCAUAAAGGUCGUCUCAGUUCGGAUUGAAGUCUGCAACUCGACUUCAUGAAGUCGGAAUCGCUAGUAAUC
rnacentral:rRNA from 1 species